CAUUCUGAUUGGUCUGAGAAUCUCCAUUCACCCCUUCCUCCUAAGGGGUGAAUGGAGAUUCUCAGACCAAUCAGAAUG